CGGGAUAGUCAGUGUAG
rnacentral:tRNA from 1 species